rnacentral:misc_RNA from 1 species
AUUAGCUGUUACUUGCUGAAUCUUAAUGACACAGCAAGUAAUAAUAGAAGGCUAAUAUUUACCUUUGUCUGUACAUUUCAAAAUUGUGUUGCAGAACCAUAUUAAAGAGUGUUCAGUCUGCCAAAGCAUUUUCUACUGGGUUCCCUGCGCUGGAAUAUGGUACAGCAGAGUGAGAAGAUCUAAUUGCUUGCUUUGCUUUGAAUCACUUUAGUUGUGCGCGGAAUGUCCCAAGAAGAACCUAGUCAUCUUGAAUUUCCAUCACCACUCUUCAAGGCCCAAGAAGAACCGUGAGACACGCAAAUUUCAUUCAUAACCUUACUAUAUUCAUUACUAU